ensembl:lncRNA
GGCUGACCCCUGCUGGGGGAACUCCUGCAGCUGCGGCCGUGGGGUCCAGCGAGCUUCGCGAGUUCGAUUCCCACCGCUAGAGAGUCAGCUGCACAGUCUGAUGACAACAGAGCAGCAUGAAGCUGAAAGACUUGGCACAAAACAGCAAAUGUCUGAGCAGCCCCUGCAAAGGGACCAGAAACGAAUGGCAGAGGGAAGAGAGCACUUCAUGGCAUUGGUGAUGCCAAUGAGUACUGCUUGGUUGGCUUCUUCCAAAC